UCAAGAAAAGAAGGGGGAAAUGAAGAAUAAUCACAGUUAGAAUCUCAGCAGAAAAACAUGAAUUCAGGCCAUCCGCGUCGGACAGAUUCUGCACUCAAAGUAUUUUGCUUAGCUAGGGACUGUUGCAAUUGGCUCUCUGUAAUGAGAGUGAAGUAAUGGGCAAGUACAAUACAUUUUGUUUCUCAGUAUAUAUUGCCUUCUGCCCAGCUGAACAUUUUCUCAAAAUGUAUCAUUCUGAAUAUACUAUUUUUUUUUUGUUAUACCUAUAGCAGGGACUGUGUCACUAAGGAGGAUGGCAAUCUUUUCACUAAUUAACAUAUUGAUAUAUGUACUGCAUUUUGCUGUACACUGCCUCUGGGCAGAGGAUGAGAUAAACAUUAUGAAUUGCCUGAAUGAACUCUAAGAUACUGUCUGAUGAAUGAAAAUUACUGUACAUAGGUACACAGAGAUAUCCUACUGGCACAAGAAGUACAGUCAGCAUACUGAAUUCUGCAAAACCCUUACCUCUGAUGACAGCUUUUUAUAGUAGAAAGGGCACGUUACACAAAUUGUACCAUCUAUGUUGCUGAAAAAUUCCCUUGUACAUCUCAUGGCUAGCUACUUCCACACAUUUUAUGCAAGGAGAAGUUGGCAUUUGAAUUCUGCUCAAAAGUGACUGUAUUUAAAAUAAGUGAUGUCUCAAGCUUGCAAAUAAACCUUCAUAAGCCUGCAACAUGGCCCUUUGCCUCCUGCAGUCUCUGACCAGGCUGAUCUGAAAUAACAGCUCCUGCAGUUGCUUCCCCAAUACUUAUGCAGUCAGCUUAGCAGGGCAGAUGGCCAAUCAUUAGGGUACCAGCCAAAGAACCACAGUUAGUUUCUGUCAAACUUCUCACGUGGCACCUGGCAAAUUAUCUAAGCCCAGACGCUAUUUAGGCAGCUUAUAAUUAUAUCAUGCCUAGCCAUGCAUCCUACAGCACUCUAAAGAAAGGUAGUCUCUUGAAGUUGGUCGUAAAGUUGUGCUCAUAACCUUUGUUAAGGCCAGAUUUCCAUUCAGUAAUGGCAAGAAAAACAUUCUUCUUGAAACACUCUUGAAAAGGAUUCUUUUUUAUGAGUACAUUUCACAAUUAAAAGUGUAAACGGCAGUUCUAGCAGCAUUUCCAACCCCUUAUAAAUAAAUAACUAUGUAGGUCCCUGAAAGUAUCUGCAAAAUUAAAGAACAUACAGAAAAUGAAAAUCAGCAUGUACGUAUUUUCACCUCCACUUUCCUUACGUUAUGAUUAUUCAGCUUUUAAGAUUUGCAUUUUUAGGUUUCUCCCCAGCUACAAACACAAAACACAAGGAAAGUGAAGAUCCUGCGGUGAUCAGUAAAUGAUUAGAAACGGAGACUCAAACAAAAGGCAAAAGACAGAUGUCCUGAGUUUCACAAGGCUGUUGAUGCUGAUGAAAAAACUAAGAAGGUAUUUUUUGCACACUGUUAUAGAGAACUAUAAAAUGUAUAGGACACAAGAAAUAGAGCUCCUUUUUGUUAGCAUCACGCAUCUAGAAAUGUUUAAGCUCAACAAGUUUGUUACUGCCUCGUAGGAAAACAGGUGGUGAUUUUCACGCUUCCUGUUUCACAUAAGCAGAAGGAAGACCGGGAUAAUAAAGGAGAUUUUCUAUCCCAUCUAUAUGAAUGUAUGACCUCCUCAAUACUUCUUUAUUUCCUUUAUGGUGAAAAAGCAAAAACAUGCCAUGCCUCCUUCAAUCCCACCUACUCAGGAAAUCAUGGCUGGAAUUAAUUGCUUAAUGAUUAAUGUUUUGCCAGCCAAUCCCUCAGUCUGUGGUUUCUGAUUAAUGACGGAGAGGCCACAAGGCUCUCAGGUAUUCAAAGAUUAUUUAUUAUACCUCCAGGUUCUGUCUGCGCUUUCACAGCAUUUUAACCAACACACAUGAUUUACAUCAUCAUCUUUAACCCUUUUAUGGUGUCUCACACCACUGGGUUUUCAUGUUUCUGGCAGACUUUGAUCUUUCAGUUAACUCCUUCUGCACUCCAAGACAAGAAGCACUUCUCACACUGGUCGGAUAAGGACAACUUUUCUAGUGUGUUGCUUGAGGUUGUUAUUGUUCUAAUAACUACACUAAGCAAAACCCAGAACAAUAAACCCUAAACACACUUUCUCAAUUCACAACAUGAAUUUUAUAUGAGACAAAACCUGGCAGGUGAAACCAUCUGUUUGCUUUGGGCAACGCAGCUGUGAAAACUUCUGCACACUGUGCAGUGCAAGACCAGACUUUUCAAAUCAACUUGUACUACUGAUGGACUAUGGUUUUGGGGAGCCAAACCUGGGAUAUCGUCAUACUAUCAAUUUUUCAAAAGGAAGAACACUCUUUGCAAAGCAGGUUCCUUUCAGUCAGAGGAAGUGGCACUCAAAAUCAAGGCACCAAAAAGCACUAGUUGUGUUUGACUAUUCUACUCUUCAGUUCAUCAGUUCAGUUCAGCAGGAGGGUUUGUUAUAUAUUGUUGUGGUUGCAGAUGAACACCCACUGAUUUUAUUAAUCCAACUACAUUUUAGAAUGUGAAAAACACAGCAUUAAUCUUAGCUCAGUCUGUACAUCUAAAAUCUAUUUACCCUUGGGUCUUUUCUGACUGAUACUGCAAAGCAGCCAGCUUCAGAGGAAGAUUAAUCUUACCCAUCUCAGACCCUUAUUCUGGUGUGAGAUGAAUCCGUUCUGGAAGCACCUAUUUUUCUCAGCUGACAAAAACUUUAAGUUAGUUUAAUAUUCAAAAUAUACAUAUCCAGGAUGUACAAGAUGUCUUCUCCUACUGAAAACUAUUUAAAGGAGAAAAAAAAAAAGUGCAAAAUGCAAGGUACCAAGUGUUUUAUUUUCUUUUCAGUAUAAUUUCUGUCCAUUCUCUAUAUUUUCAUAACAUCAUAACACACAUUUUGCAAAACAAAAUCGUUGGGAUUUCAAUCAAAUCAACAAGGUUUUAUACAUAUAUUCUAUGAGAAAGUGUGAGAAGUACUGUAUGCUGCUGCCUACUUAAUGAAAGUGUCACAGAUUUCUCUCUUUGUACUGCCUGAAUUUGCAACUCUUCUUUCUCCUGUGGGUCACCAUGACAGAGUUUGGUCAAUAGACCAGCUCAGCAAUUUGGGAUCAUUGUUGGCAACACAUCUGCUUCUUUUCCCAGUCUCUACUGCAGGCAACCACAGUAUCUUGCAGCCAUCAGAAGAGCUCCUGGCCACCCAAAAGAGCCAUUUACUAGGGCACAAUAAGCCAUGAUUGCUGGGGCUGCAGAAAGCUUGUGGCUUUGCUUCCUAAGGCAGACAUCUGGAUAGGCUAGCUGCUGUGGAAGAGACUGGGAUGCUGGAGUGACAUCCACAAAUGGUUCCUUAAGCAUCUGAUGGCUCUGCUCCAUUUGCUCCUGCUGGCUGCACUCAACUCCUCAGGAAACCUCUGUGCCUGACUCCUCAGGAAGCCUCUGUGCUUCAGCUUCCCAACUUCCCAUCAUAGGAGAAGCCAGGACUGACUUUCACUGAUCGUGUAUCCACUGCUUGGAAGCCUUGAAACAGUUCCAGCUGAUAAAAUUUCCCCAUUUUACAUUGCAAGGACCAAACUUUUUAUGAAUUCAACUACCACCAUACAAAAGCCUAGGGCUACAACCUUACUUGAAACUUGGAUCAAGAUAUACUGCAAGGAAAAACCAUGUUUACAUUGUUAAUGAGUUUCUCAAUCUGAAAGCUUAUAGAGCUGUGAUCACAUACUUCACUGUCCCUGAGCCAAGAGCAACAACGAUGAAGACAUAACACUCCCCGAGCAAUGCUGUGCUUUGCAUUCCCUGUUGCUUUUAGUUUUAACUUAAUUUCCUGCGAUCGUGAACAAAAUUUCCAAAGGGUUUGACGGCAAUAUGCUGCCCACAAGGCACCAAGGAACUUCCUUCAGCCUGUGGUCUCAGUUCCUAGGAUCUGUGGACAGCUAACAGUUCUUUGAAGACCAUGUUUUCACUUAUGCUUAUUUUAGUAUAAUGCAAAGUUGAGGUCUGCCCCUCUAUUUAAAUAUAUGUCUGCAAUUUGCAGGGAGAAAAACAAUAGGCUACUGAGAUGCCAGACUGGAAGGUUUCCAGCAGCAACAGGUCAAUCGGAAGUGCUUGGUAUGACAACCUCAGGCAUUCACACACAACCGCAGUUUUGUGGAAGAACCUGCCCCUGGUUUGAUGCCAUUCUGAAUCGCCCCACUCAAGCUUUACCAACGCUUCCCUCCCAAGCACCCCCAGAAGGUGUUUCCCAUAUUUCACUGGCAUGUACUUCUGAAACCAUCCCUCCCCUGCACUAAGGUACUCUCACCCUCCGAAUCAUGCAGCUCCAAGGGCCCAUUUCUUCCAUUUUAUCACCUAGUUUCUCCCAUGCCCUUGAAAGCCUUCUCAAAUGCCAGUGAAGCAACAGCAUCAUAGAAUCGUUGGAAAAUAGAACCAUAGACCAUAGGUCUCCAGACCAUAGUCUCCUCCAAGACCAUCUAGUCCUGACAACGUAAUCUUCUAUUGUCAGCUCUUAUUUGAAAAAUACAUAAACAAAUGAGUAAUUAAAGUACAACAGCUGACAUUAAAAAAAAACAAAUAGCUACUCUGGUCAGAGGUCAUUGAGUGUUUCUGUUAAGCCAGCGGCCCCAGACAGGCAAUAAAUACUUUCAGUUCUUUUUUCUUUUUGUUAGACGUGUAUGAAGUGGAGUCAUUAGUUAACAUGAUCGGUGACAGGUCAUCAGGCGGCGGCAGCCCGCUCGUCCUGCGGUUUUUCACUUCAAUCACGACAGGGUCUCUACCGUGCUCUCACAUCUGGCGGCCCCAAAGGUCUGAGCCAACCUCUUCCCCAGGUGCCACCCGAUAGAGCUGCGAUAGCAGCGAGUGUCCUCGCCCUGUUCACACCCGGAUGAUAGCUGACAGCAAGCCUUGCACCAACACUGAGAGGGAGAGGGCUCUGCAUUGAGAUUAUCGAGGUGUGCAAUUGCCCGCGUUGGAGAUUAAAGCUCUGACCGUUGUCUCACUUUGGGCGCUCGUUUCAGCCACAACCCAGUGUGAUUUUUUCCGUCCCAAAAGCGUGCAGGCAGCAAGCGUAAGCCUUCAAACACAAGGCCUGGCAUUCAGCAACUCCUCCCUUUGGAUCACACAAUCCGUAGGAGAACAAAGUGCUGAGGGCGCACGAGACCCUUCCUCGCACGCAGCCAUGCACCUGCGUACACACACACGGGCGCCCACGCCGCGCCUGGCAGCGCUCACCCUGCAGCAGCGCUCCGCGCCCUCCUCUCACCUCCUCCGCACAGCGCCGCAGCCAGCAGCGCGCCCUGCCCCGCGCAGCGCCGGCUGAGGGCUUCCUGCAGCGCCCUCCCUGCGCGGAGCCGACACCGCGCCCAGGUGCGCCCGGCCCGAGGAGAGCGGCCGUUAUAAGGCACGGCUCCCCACGAGCUUUGGGGGGAAGGAGUGAGUCUUUGGAUCCUGGCUGAGCCCAGUGGGUCAAGGGCUGGUCCGGUUUGCCUCUCAGCGGCUCUGCAAGGUGUGCCCAAGACUGACACGGUCCGCAUGAAAAUAGUGUGAGGAUAUUGGUGCGGUGAGAGCUCUCAGUCCAUCUCACUGAAAUCCCUUAUGCAGAGAAAAGCCUCAAUGGACUCAAUCUAUGAGAUGGAAAGAAAAACUGACUACGAAACUGAGAUGCUUUUGAAGGUGCUGUCAAAAGACAGCAUGAAAUGCUGCCUCCUCUCAGGUGGAGGGUGGCAAACUACCAGCUGUGUCCCACAUGUGACAAGAAUCUUGCAAAAUGGCAUUGCAGGUAUGAGGAGCUGAAGCAUUUUCUAAAUCCCUCAGCUUGGAGUUUGUUUAAACAGACAUACAGCGCAGUUCCUUGUUUUAUUCAAACCGUAUUCUAACAUGACUAAAUACAAGUCACACAAAUACCAGUUCGUGUAUAGAUGUCCAACCUUUUGGCUUGCCUGGGCUGCAUUGGGUGAAGAAGAAUCAUCUUGGGCCACAUAUAUGUAGGUCACUCUGAAAAUAAAGCCUCCUAUUUAUUUCCAUGGAAACUCAA